rnacentral:lncRNA from 1 species
CUUUCCAAAGUUAGCUUAAUAAUUUAGGAAAGUAAUAAUACUGAUUGAGCAUUCCUUGUUUAUGAGCUAUUUACCUUAUUCUACAAAAGGGUUGUCCUUAUCCUUGCAAUCACAAAACAUAAAAACUCAUUUACAUUUCAGUUUCACGCCAUUAAUCAGUUGUCGCAAUAAGAAAUAAAAUUAAUAUUCGUUUGCUCUGCUUUGGUUAAAAAAAAAGAUGGGAGGUCUUUGCUCAGGAGGGAUGAAGAAGCAACAAAAUGCUUUAGAUCUUAAUCUUGAGAGGCUGAAGUCAGAAAAAAGCACAAAGCAUCACCACAAAGAAAACAGAAUCACUCUCGAACCGCUACAGUUGCCAUUUCCCAGGGAAUUACUGUCGAUGAAAGGGGCUUCCGAGUACAAGGUAUGUUCAAAUAAUUGACUGUACUUUUUUGUACUUGAUCAAAUUUUUAGAAGCGAGCAGAUAUUUUAAUGCAUGAUUAUAGUAAUAUAAAGACGAUGGCUUACACAUAAACACUUUGAAGUUUUCAGUUUAAAUUAAUAAUAUGUCGAACAAAGACUUUUGAGUUCUGUUUAUUGAAAAUAUACAUAUAUACGCGCACACACGGUUGCUCUGUUAGUGAUAUACUCAUAUUUUGGCUACCAGGUCGUUUUCUCCUUUUCUUGAGAUACACUUUUGGAUUAUAAUUUUUUUUCCCCAUUUCGUAGGCUGCUAAGAGGUCUUCGUUUAUUGGAAGAGAUGGCAUUGGCGGCCUAUCAAUGACUGGUCCAGCAGUUUAAUUUUAACAUUGGAGAAGUCCCUAUAGUUUAAGGCGUUUGCUUAUUGAUUGAUUGAUUCAUUAGAGGAAACCAAAAAUUCCUUGUACAGGUGUAGAAGAUAAAUAAUCAAGGAAUAAAAGCUUGUGAAUAUUGUUUCAUUGUUCAUCUCACUAGGCUGAUACUCUGGGUUGGUGUAUCCUUUCAAAUUUAUCUUCAUAUGGUUCUGUUCGGUUUAUUGAUUCGUUACUAAACAUAUCCCGUAAAUGUUAUUAC